rnacentral:rRNA from 1 species
AGUUAGUUGGUAGGGUAACGGCCUACCAAGACUUCGACGGGUAGCUGUCUGAGAGGAUGGUCAGCCACACUGGGACUGAGACACUGCCCAGACCCCUACGGGAGGCUGCAGUCGAGAAUCUUCCGCAAUGCGCGCAAGCGUGACGGAGCGAUGCCGCGUGAGGGAUGACGGCCUUCGGGUUGUAAACCUCUGUCACCCGGAACGAACAGAUGACGGUACCGGGAGAGGAAGCCACGGCUAACUACGUGCCAGCAGCCGCGGUAAUACGUAGGUGGCGAGCGUUAUUCGGAUUUAUUGGGCGUAAAGGGUCCGUAGGGGGUCAGCGAAGUCUGGUGUGAAAUUUCAGGGCUCAACCCUGAAAGGUCACUGGAAACUGGUUGACUAGAGGGCAGGAGAGGAGAGUGGAAUUCCUGGUGUAGCGGUGGAAUGCGUAGAUAUCAGGAGGAACACCGAUGGCGAAGGCAGCUCUCUGGCCUGUCCCUGACCCUGAAGGACGAAAGCUGGGGUAGCAAACAGGAUUAGAUACCCUGGUAGUCCCAGCUGUAAACGUUGUGCACUCGGUGUGGGUGGGUUUGGCCCCAUCCGUGCCUGAGCUAACGCAUUAAGUGCACCGCCUGGGGAGUACGGCCGCAAGGCUAAAACUCAAAGGAAUUGACGGGGGCCCGCACAAGCGGUGGAGCAUGUGGCUCAAUUCGAGGCCACGCGAAGAACCUUACCUGGGCGUGACAUUGAGCGCUUGCCGUGGAAACACGGUUUUCCUUCGGGACGUGAAAACAGGUGCUGCAUGGCUGUCGUCAGCUCGUGUCGUGAGAUGUUCGGUUAAGUCCGGCAACGAGCGCAACCCGUGUCGCCAGUUACCAGCGGUUAGAGCCGGGAACUCUGGCGAGACUGCCCGUGCUAAGCGGGAGGAAGGCGCGGACGACGUCAAGUCCGUAUGGCCCUUACGCCCAGGGCUGCACACGUGCUACAAUGGCCGGUACAGUGGGCAGCGAGCUCGCGAGAGUAAGCUAAUCCCCAAAACCGGCCCCAGUUCGGAUUGGAGUCUGCAAUUCGACUCCAUGAAGCCGGAAUCGCUAGUAAAGGCGUAUCAGCAACGACGCCUUGAAUACGUUCCCGGGCCUUGUAUACACCGCCCGUCACAUCAUGGAAGCUGGCUGUAGCCGAAGUCGCUGAGCUAACCUUCGGGAGGCAGGCGCCGACGCUGUGGCUAGUGACUGGGAUGAAGUCGUAACAAGGUAGCCGUAGGGGAACCUGCGGCUG